UAACGAAUCUUCCGCAAUGCACGAAAGUGUGACGGAGCGACGCCGCGUGUGGGACGAAGCCCUCGGGGUGUAAACCACUGUCAGGGGAAAGAAAGUUCUGAUCUACCCCAGAGGAAGAGGCGGCUAACUCUGUGCCAGCAGCCGCGGUAAUACAGAGGCCUCGAGCGUUAGGCGGAAUCACUGGGCUUAAAGCGUGUGUAGGCGGACUUCUAAGUACCUUGUGAAAUCCCACGGCUUACCCGUGGAACUGCUUGGUAUACUGGUUGUCUUGAGCUUUUCUAGGGGCGAGCGGAACAAAUGGUGGAGCGGUGAAAUGCGUAGAUAUCAUUUGGAACGCCAAUGGUGAAAACAGCUCGCUGGGGAAAUGCUGACGCUGAGACACGAAAGCCAGGGGAGCGAACGGGAUUAGAUACCCGAGUAGUCCUGA
rnacentral:rRNA from 1 species